UCCUCGAUAGCUCAGUGGUAGAGCAUUCGGCUGUUAACCGAAGGGUCGUAGGUUCGAGCCCCACUCGAGGAG
rfam:Clostridiales bacterium GWD2_32_19 gwd2_scaffold_658, whole genome shotgun sequence.